AUUAACAAGUCAUCUGCUUUCUUGUUACCUGCCUAUUACACAGAAAUGACGAAUGUCUUUCCCUCUCUCUCUGCCUUGUUUUGAUGCUCAGCUCUCAAACACAGCGGAAUUUGACUAAUGGUAAUCCUUGUUUCAGUCUAUCAUUGGUCCUAAAAGUUCUAUUUAUUUACCUAGAACUCUAACAGUCCUUAAUGACACUGUGAUAAGCACUCCUCACUCCACCAGCUACACAGACACAAGAAGAGCCACACUGCCCCUGAGCCCACGUCUUGGUGUGGGCCAGCCCAGGCAGCUGUCUUUGGAGGCUUUUAGCAGUGCAAAUAGGAACCUACUGGUUAAUUGAGCCAUUCAAACUUUAGAGAGUUACAGGUAAUGAACGUCUAUAAUGUUUAAUUGGAAAACUCAUGCCACGAUUAUUUGUACAGUAUCAGUUAACGAAGUCACUUGCCAAAAACUGCCCUUCUUGGUGACACACUUACAUAUGACAGCAUGGCCUUCAUCUCUUCGUCACUCCUCACGGUAAUUCGAUCACCAUCUUCGUCUUCAUCUGUUUAAAAAAGCAACAUAAAAUAAAUGGCAGUCUCUCACAUCACAGUACCAUGACAAAAAUGGCUAACACUGACUGAACCCUACUAUAGACAAGGCAUGGCGAUUCGAGCUCCUUAGGCAACACCUCCUUCACAACCUCACACAGCCCUGUGAUGUGCACAUCAUCAUCGUCAUUUCUCCUCUACAGAAGCAGCUGGCACCCAGUGCAAGGUCAACUCACCAAGGACCUCUACCACAGGACCCCACACAUCCCAGCCCAUCCAGCUGCCACCCUCUCUUUAUAAGCAGUACUCUCUGAUCAAGCUUCAAAGGCGAGUCAUGCAUUUUAUGACGACUUAUAGAUUAGAAGUAGUUCUAUGAAAACCUGCCAUGAAAUACAAGAAAAUUAUAUGGACGGCAAAUUGAGGACAAAAAUGCUGAAACAGUAUCGGGACUGUCUCAGAAGGACCCUGAUUCUGAGAGAAAGAUUCCAGGUGCGUUGAAAGAGACAUUCUAAUAAAGCAUGAGGACAAAAUCGGUCCAACAGGAGCCAGUGAUCAGCCGCUCUUAUGCACUGGUGAGAGACCCAACUUCAUGUAGGCAUUGGUUUUCUUUACAAACUGUCUGCUUCACUCUU